GGGGUGGUGAAAAAGUGGAACUAUUGUUGUUAUUCCAAUCUACAUAAGGAGGACAAUUAUUUUCUGUUUGGUUUUCUACAAAACUGAAAGAUCUAUGUUCUUGUUCUUGUUCUUUUGCAACAAGAGUGUUGAAGUUGAAGUUGUAAAAAUCUUUGAUUCCAUAACUAAAAGGAUCUUGUGUUUGUGGAUAAACCACUGCUUCUAGUGCCAUGUCUUUCACUCUAUCUCUUUCCUCUUCAGGUAAACACAUAACAAUCAAUCAAUUUUAUUUCUAUCCU
rnacentral:lncRNA from 1 species